rnacentral:rRNA from 1 species
UGCAACUCGACUGCAUGAAGUCGGAAUCGCUAGUAAUCGCGGAUCAGCAUGCCGCGGUGAAUACGUUCCCGGGCCUUGUACACACCGCCCGUCAAGCCAUGGAAGCCGGGAGUGCCUGAAGUGUGCAACCGCAAGGAGCGCCCUAAGGUAAAACUGGUGACUGGGGCUAAGUCGUAACAAGGUACC